GACGAACGCUGGCGGCGUGCCUAAUACAUGCAAGUCGAGCGAAUGGAUUAAGAGCUUGCUCUUAUGAAGUUAGCGGCGGACGGGUGAGUAACACGUGGGUAACCUGCCCAUAAGACUGGGAUAACUCCGGGAAACCGGGGCUAAUACCGGAUAACAUUUUGAACCGCAUGGUUCGAAAUUGAAAGGCGGCUUCGGCUGUCACUUAUGGAUGGACCCGCGUCGCAUUAGCUAGUUGGUGAGGUAACGGCUCACCAAGGCAACGAUGCGUAGCCGACCUGAGAGGGUGAUCGGCCACACUGGGACUGAGACACGGCCCAGACUCCUAUGGGAGGCAGCAGUAGGGAAUCUUCCGCAAUGGACGAAAGUCUGACGGAGCAACGCCGCGUGAGUGAUGAAGGCUUUCGGGUCGUAAAACUCUGUUGUUAGGGAAGAACAAGUGCUAGUUGAAUAAGCUGGCACCUUGACGGUACCUAACCAGAAAGCCACGGCUAACUACGUGCCAGCCGCCGCUGUAA
rnacentral:rRNA from 1 species